CUGGCGGCGUGCCUAACACAUGCAAGUCGAACGAUUCUUUGAUUAUAGCAAUAUUAUUAAAGAGGAGUGGCGAACGGGUGAGUAACACGUAGAUAAUCUGCCUUCAGACGGGGACAACUCAGGGAAACUUGUGCUAAUACCCGAUGAGACCACAAGAAGGGAUUUUUUGUGGCCAAAGGCGGGCAGCAAUGCUCGUGCUGAAAGAUGAGUCUGCGUCCUAUCAGCUAGUUGGUGGGGUAAAUGCCUACCAAGGCUAAGACGGGUAGCCGGCCUGAGAGGGUGAACGGCCACACUGGGACUGAGACACGGCCCAGACUCCUACGGGAGGCAGCAGUGAGGAAUUUUCCGCAAUGGGCGCAAGCCUGACGGAGCGACGCCGCGUGAGGGAUGAACCAGCUUUCGGGUUGUAAACCUCUUUUAUUAAAGGAAAAAGAUCUAUAUGCUAAUAUCAUGUAGAUUUGAUGGUACUUAUUGAAUAAGCCCCGGCUAACUACGUGCCAGCAGCCGC
rnacentral:rRNA from 1 species